GACGAACGCUGGCGGCGUGGAUUAGGCAUGCAAGUCGAACGGUAUCAUCCUUUCGGGGGUGAGAGAGUGGCGAACUGGUGAGUAACACGUAGGUUAUCUACCCUCAAGACGGGGACAACCCAGGGAAACUUGGGCUAAUACCGGAUGUGAGCAACUUUUAGUUGUUUGAAAGGUGGCGUAAGCUGUCGCUUGGGGAUGAGCCUGCGUCCUAUUAGUUAGUUGGUGAGGUAACGGCUCACCUAGGCAAUGAUAGGUAGGCGGCCUUAACGGGUGGUCGCCCACACUGGGAUUGAGAUACGGCCCAGACUCCUACGGGAGGCAGCAGUCGAGAAUAGUCUACAAUGGUCGGAAGACUGAUAGUGCGAACGCCGCGUGAACGAUGAAUCCCUUCGGGGUGUAAAAGUUCUUUUAUAUGUGAGCAGUGCUUCUAUAUUAACAGUAUGGGGAGAGAGAUAUUAGCAUAUGAAUAAGACAAACGGACUAACUCCGUGCCAGCAGCCGCGGUAAAAAUACC
rnacentral:rRNA from 1 species